rnacentral:rRNA from 1 species
UGGGGAAUAUUGCGCAAUGGCCGCAAGGCUGACGCAGCGACGCCGUGUGUGGGAUGAAGGCUUUCGGGUUGUAAACCACUGUCAGGAGGGACGAAUACUUGGCGUUCGCGACCAAGGGUGACGGUACCUCCAGAGGAAGCGCCGGCUAACUCCGUGCCAGCAGCCGCGGUAACACGGAGGGCGCGAGCGUUGUUCGGAAUCACUGGGCGUAAAGCGCGCGUAGGCGGUUACGUCAGUCAAUUGUGAAAACUCGGGGCUCAACUCUGAGACUGCAGUUGAUACUGCGUAGCUAGAGCAUGGUAGAGGCAAGUGGAAUUCCCGGUGUAGCGGUGGAAUGCGUAGAUAUCGGGAAGAACACCAGUGGCGAAGGCGGCUUGCUGGGCCAUUGCUGACGCUGAGGUGCGAAAGCGUGGGGAGCAAACAGGAUUAGAUACCCGCGUAGUCC